GUCUAACCUGCCCACUGGAUUUUUGAAGGGCCGCGGUAUAUUGACCGUGCUAAGGUAGCAUAAUAAUUAGUCUUUUAAUUGUAGGCUGGAAUGAAUGGUUGGACAAGAAGUAAGCUGUCUUUUUUAUAAGUUUUGAACUUUACUUUUAAGUGAAAAGGCUUAAAUAAAUUUAAGGGACGAUAAGACCCUAUAAAACUUUACAGUUAAAAGGUACUCAAUAAUUGAUUUGUAGCUUGAUUAUUUUGUAGCUGUUUUGUUGGGGAGACAAUGAUAGAAGACAAAAAUAUCUGUUUGAUAAAUGAAAAUAAAGUUGUUUAGUGAAGCUGAUCCCUUAUUAAGGAUUAAAAUAGUAAGUUACUUUAGGGAUAACAGCGUAAUUUUUUCUGAGAGUUCUUAUCGAUGAAAGUAGUUGCGACCUCGAUGUUGAAUUAAAGUUUCUACUAAAUGCAGCAGUUUAAGUAGAGGGUCUGUUCGACCUU
rnacentral:rRNA from 1 species